CUGACAGUUUCAAACUGCAGUGAGGAAAUAAGGACGGCCCUGUGCAUUGGCCCAGAGCUUGAGCAACCUGCUGCCUGAUUGGCCCGAGGGCCAGGGGCGGGGCUCCGGAUGGUGGCGACCUGGAGAAGCCGGAAUUAAGUUACUCUGGGAGAGCCCCGCCCCCAGCUCGCGCCGGAUUUGAGGGGGCGGGGUCUUAGGGAGCCCCGCCCAGCGUUUGCGAGGCGGUGCUCAGUUCGAUUCUGAGGUGGCUUAGGAGGCAGAUUUUGUUAACGCCUGCGGAGCAGGGCUGAAGUCAGCUAGGGCGGUAUGUAGUUGUCUUUCAAUGAUGCUCAGAGCUUAUGCGUGAGGUCCUCGUGCGUAUGAAUCAUCUGCGAACCUAGGUGGCCCUCAACAAUCACUGACCCCUACCUGCUUGCUGAUUCCUUGGGUCUUGGUCUUGGGUAGGGCUAGGGAAUCUGAAUUUUAAAAAAGACUAACAGUGAUUCUAAUGCAUAGGUCUGCGGACUAUGCUUUAAGAAACUGCUGGGCUAGGUUUUACUGCUAACUUGAAACGUGUCAGACUGCCGGGCAAGCCCUUCUGGUGAAGAGAGUAUCGGAUCUUAGAAUCAUAAGUAUAUCCUGGCUCUACCACCGACUCACUGUCACCUUGGAUAAUGCCACCCACAGAAAAGUUUGUAGGGGGAUUCAGCGAGUUACUAUAUCUGAAAUACCUACCAUACAAACAUCAAAAAAACUAAUUUUCUGCUUAUAUUGGUGCCUUAGGAUCAAGAUGGUAAUGGGAGUGCCUCAAUCUGGAGAGCAAGUAAUGAGACCCUCCGUCUAUUCCUCGGUCUUUGUCACAGCCUCUCAGGCUGGAAUUUGUUUCUCCAGGUUACAGGUGGCUGACGUAGUAAUUUAACCUCUGCAGCUGAGAGAAGUACAAGCCUCCGGAGAGGUCCAUUUCCUUGGGAACUAUGUACUAGUGCUCAUGAACUAUAGCUUUCUGGAAAUAGUGUUCUGGUUUUUCUACAUCAGAAAAAUGACUUGAUGGUGAAACCUGAGUUUCAGCAAGAAGGUAUGCAAAGAACAUGGUAGAUUACUUGGGGGCAAGUGGCUCACAAUGCGUGUCCCCACAUAGAACUUCUUCUUUUUUUUUUUUUUUUUUUUUUGUCUUUUUAGGGCCUCACCCGAAGCAUAUGGAGGUUCCCAGGCUAGGGGUUGAAUCAGAGCUGUAACUGCCGGCCUACACCACAGCCAUGGUAACGCCAGAUCAGAGCCUCGUCUGUGACCUACACCACAGCUCACAGCAAUGCCAGGGAUCAAACCCGUGUCCUCAUGGAUGCUAGUUGGGUUCCUUAACCACUGAGUUGCUAAGGGAAUUCCCACAUAGCACUUCUAUAGCUAGACUGCAUAGUCUCUUAGAAUCCCUCCACACACUGAAAGCCAAAACAACGGAUUCAUUGAGCAUAUUUAGCCAAGGGAGAACAGAGAGAGAAAGUUUGUCUAAAGCAAAGACAGAGGGUGGUGAUGAACGCUGUGGGCACAGCAGUUUGCUGACAAGGCAGUGUGGCAGCCCUUCGCAGGGGCCAGUAUUUGUAGUGGAAUAAGAGCUUAUUCAGAAUAUUUGGAUUCCCUGGAAUCCUCAGUUGCAUUUUGCAGCACAGCAUUCCAUGGCCCUUUUAUGACAGAAGGGAGUUCAUUUCUUAGCUUUCAUCAUCAGCCUUCUGUUCUUCCUAAUGAGAGACAUGCCCUUGAACCUCUCUGUUAGCAUCCUCCAGCCGUAUUAAAACUCACUUACCCUUAGCAUUUCUUUCGCCUGAUAAAACAACCUAGGACUAGCUGUGAGAAGCAGGAUUAAUUAGUUUUUCAGAACAAUAUUACUGAGUCCCACUGAUGUUUUGAGUACUAUACAAAUGCUG
ensembl:lncRNA